GACGAACGCUGGCGGCGUGCCUAACACAUGUAAGUCGAACGGCAGCACGGGGCAACCUGGUGGCGAGUGGCGAACGGGUGAGUAAUGCAUCGGAACGUACCUUUCAGUGGGGGAUAACGUAGCGAAAGCUACGCUAAUACCGCAUAUUCUGUGAGCAGGAAAGCAGGGGAACGCAAGACCUUGCGCUGAUUGAGCGGCCGAUGUCAGAUUAGCUAGUUGGUGAGGUAAAGGCUCACCAAGGCGACGAUCUGUAGCGGGUCUGAGAGGAUGAUCCGCCACACUGGAACUGAGACAUGGUCCAGACUCCUACGGGAGGCAGCAGUGGGGAAUUUUGGACAAUGGGGGCAACCCUGAUCCAGCCAUGCCGCGUGAGUGAAGAAGGCCUUCGGGUUGUAAAGCUCUUUCGGCCGGGAAGAAAUCGCACGGGCUAAUACCCUGUGUGGAUGACGGUACCGGAAUAAGAAGCACCGGCUAACUACGUGCCAGCCGCCGCCGUAACAC
rnacentral:rRNA from 1 species